rnacentral:lncRNA from 1 species
CUUGAAUCUCCAAAGGUUCUCUGCCCUAAUGUUGUUAAACAUAUCCUAUUUAUACUAAUAAGCUUAACCUAAAGUUCCUUAAGCUGACCUAGGGUUUAAUUGGGCUUAAAAGUGUAAUGAGAGGCCCAAAAAUCAAUUGUCAAUCUUUACAAAUUUCCAUUCCCAGCACAGUACGUCCAGCUAUGUUUUGACACAAGUUUCUGUCUCUUCGAGGUAGAACUGGGCAAAUUGAUGUCAUGAAAGUUGUAGCUCUAUCUCUUAGCUUUCCAAUGGUCCAAGAAUGGCAUCAUUUGAAGUACUGUAGCUCGAGAUAUGGGCAAAAUACUAAAGCAUAUGCAAGCAUAUUUUGGGUCUUCAUCACCUUACUUUCCAAAAUUAAGCCAAAUCACUUUUAAUCCUAAAAAAAAAAUAUAAAAAUUAAUAAAUAAUAACCAAAUUAAAAGGGAUAACAUAAACUUAAAAUAACUAACUUAAAAGUAACCUAAUUAUAAAAACAACUAAAAAUAAGUAAAUUAUAAUUUAAAAUUGAGGACUUAGCUAAUAUUUCAUAACAAAAUUGGACUAAAAUAAUUCUAUAAAAUAGAAUUAUCACACCCCUAAACUUGAGAUUUUGCUAGUCUUCGAGCAAAAGAAAAUCACAAAAAAAAAAUUGAAUUAUAAAAAAAAUCCUUGAACAAUAGAUAUGUCACGACCCGGACCUCCCCUUGAACCCGUGACAACCACCGCGGUGCCUUGAUGGGCACUCAUUUUCCAGAAUGCCAACCGGAACCCUGCAAGGCUUAAUAUUAGUUUCUUGUAUUCCCCGGUGAGUAACUAUUGCCAAAUAUUAUGUUCUAAAGGAUUUUGAGCUAUUUCCAACUUAAAACUAAUAAAAUAAAAAUUUUUGUCUCAUAGGGGCAUUUUGGUCAUUUUCCACUGAAAAUUUUGAAACCAGUUAAAAAUGUAGUAAACAAGUACCAAUCGCCUAAUUCACAAUUAAAAAUAAGUUUAGGCAUCUAAAACCUUAAUUGAAAAUGAAAUUGUAAUUAUUUGAAUAAAAUAAGAAGAUAAAAUAAUAUAUUCAAUAAAAUAUUUUAUUUUCUUAUAAACAUAAAUUUUGGAGUUAUGCGUAAAUACUUUUUGUAACGUAAAAACAAAAUAAAUUCAUUUAUACUAUAGCACAAUAAACUAUUAAAUUUACAAUAUCAAGUGGGCCCACAAUAACUAAAAUUUAAGAAGUUGUGAACCUACAGUUUUGGAAGAAGCAAUCCAAUGGAAAUCCCCAAUGGAACCAGCUAUCUACAAACUACUCUGAUCUUGAAAUGGGUGGAAAGGAGGGUGGUGAGAUUAUAAAAUCCCAGUGAGUAAACAAACACUAUUUAAAUCAGCUAAAGCCGAGUAAAAGGAGACAAUUAAAAUAUCCCAUCAUAUUAUGUAUUUUCUAAUUUGAAAAUUUAUCCCAACCCAUGCAAACGGUUGUAUUUCAUUUAAUUUCUCAUUAAGGCUUAUGACUUUCAUAAACAUUUGGCUCAUGCCAUCAAAUAGUACUCGAUGACACCUUGAUCAGAGGCGUACACUCGAGCCUGCCAAGGCUGUUAAAAUUUUGAAUACACGUAAAACAUAUUUUUAGUUUGAGAAAAACACAGUCGUUCCUUGGCAUUAGUGGAGUUCAUCAUCACGAGGUGGUUUGGCAUGACGUGAACUCUAUCCAUACCUCAGGAAAUACCCUACGCGCCUCUCCAACCGAGGUAAGCACAUAUAAACAGGGUUACCGUGCCCCUCUCAUAGGCUGGUCCAUGGAACCCGCCUACUGCAGCAAGCUAAACCCACCAUAUAAUAAAAUUUUAACAGCAUGACAAGGCUAAUAUUUUACUACCCAGCCUGCAAGGGUAAAAUAAAACAAUUCAUACAAUUCAUAAAACACAGCCCAGCCAGUCAUGUCAACACAAUAACAAUAUAUCAUAAGCCAUCAAUUUCAAAUCAUAAAUUUACAACAUGCUGGAGGUCUCCAAUUACUCUAUUUUCAAAAUCGUUAUUCAAUUUCCAGACAAUUUUUAAAAUCUUUUCAUGUAAACACAUUCUGUUUGUAAAAUACAAAAAUUUACCAUUUAAACUCAUUUUCAUAAAAUUUCACCAAAAUCGAUUAAAAACAUACUUUAGAUAAUAAAAAUGAUGGUAAGGUUACUCACAAUGUCCAGAGUGGG